AGUGAACGCUGGCGGUAGGCCUAACACAUGCAAGUCGAACGGCAGCACAGUAAGAGCUUGCUCUUACGGGUGGCGAGUGGCGGACGGGUGAGGAAUACAUCGGAAUCUACUUUUUCGUGGGGGAUAACGUAGGGAAACUUACGCUAAUACCGCAUACGACCUACGGGUGAAAGCAGGGGAUCUUCGGACCUUGCGCGAUUGAAUGGGCCGAUGUCGGAUUAGCUAGUUGGCGGGGUAAAGGCCCACCAAGGCGACGAUCCGUAGCUGGUCUGAGAGGAUGAUCAGCCACACUGGAACUGAGACACGGUCCAGACUCCUACGGGAGGCAGCAGUAGGGAAUAUUGGACAAUGGGCGCAAGCCUGAUCCAGCCAUACCGCGUGGGUGAAGAAGGCCUUCGGGUUGUAAAGCCCUUUUGUUGGGAAAGAAAAGCAGCAGGUUAAUACCCCGCUGUUCUGGCGGUACCCAAAGAAUAAGUACCGGCUAACUUCGUG
rnacentral:rRNA from 1 species